rnacentral:rRNA from 1 species
CUCCUACGGGAGGCAGCAGUAGGGAAUCUUCGGCAAUGGACGAAAGUCUGACCGAGCAACGCCGCGUGAAUGAAGAAGGCUUUCGGGUCGUAAAAUUCUGUUAUAAGGGAAGAAAAGUUAGAGUAGGAAAUGGCUCUAAAGUGACGGUACCUUAUGAGAAAGCCACGGCUAACUACGUGCCAGCAGCCGCGGUAAUACGUAGGUGGCAAGCGUUAUCCGGAAUUAUUGGGCGUAAAGAGCGCGCAGGUGGUUGAUUAAGUCUGAUGUGAAAGCCCACGGCUUAACCGUGGAGGGUCAUUGGAAACUGGUCAACUUGAGUGCAGAAGAGGGAAGUGGAAUUCCAUGUGUAGCGGUGAAAUGCGUAGAGAUAUGGAGGAACACCAGUGGCGAAGGCGGCUUCCUGGUCUGUAACUGACACUGAGGCGCGAAAGCGUGGGGAGCAAACAGGAUUAGAUACCCUGGUAGUCCACGCCGUAAACGAUGAGUGCUAAGUGUUGGGGGUCGAACCUCAGUGCUGAAGUUAACGCAUUAAGCACUCCGCCUGGGGAGUACGGUCGCAAGACUGAAACUCAAAUGAAUUGACGGGGGCCCGCACAAGCGGUGGAGCAUGUGGUUUAAUUCGAUGCGACGCGAAGAACCUUACCUACUCUUGACAUCCAGAGAAUUCGCUAGAGAUAGCUUA